UGUUAUCCAGCAUGUUAUCAUUUACAUAAAUAUAUACAUAAAUACAUACAGUACUGUUUCAUUAUUUGAUGCAAAUACUCCUAGAUUUUGUAUCAUUCUGUUAUUUUCUCCUAAAGACUGGAAUAAGUUGAAUUUUCUAUUUGUUUACUCUUACAAUGGUUAUAUUUUAACAAUGAAUCUACAAAAAUUGGUCGUGUCUAUGAAUCUACUCAGGAUGAAUCUACUUUUAAAGUUUUGGUCAAAUUCAAGUUGAAGAAUUGAAGGCCAAGAGAGUAAUACUAGCCAGAAUGAAUUGUGCGCACUGUUAUGAUCCAGCAUCUAUAAUUGUUUGUUCAUGCAUACUGAGCUGGAAUACCAGCUAGCUUUAAAUUUUUCAAAGAAUGAUAAAAAAAAGAUUAUUAUAAGACUAUCA